UUGAUAGAAAAAUAUCAAACGAAAAAAAAAAGGAGGGAGUUUCUUGCAUACUUUAACACCACUUCUAGUAUUUAGCAUUGGGUUUUCAGAUUCCUAUUUACUUGUUCCUCUAACCAAAGUACCCAGUUUAGCAGGAUUGGAACUUCAAAGUUUGAGACGAGAAGAAUUCGCUUGGGUCGGAGAAGCUACUACAUUUUACAUCUUUGUCUAUUCAUAUUAUUUUUAUUUAUUUAUUUACUUUUGUCUAAAAAUGUAAUAAUCUGUAAAUAUUACAUAAUGAAAUUACUUGGGGAACUAUUUAAGAGGGGGAGGGUUUAUGUGCUACAUGUUUUACUAUCCGUAUCUACUUGUUAGAUUUGUUGAUAAAAUAGUUGUUUAUCUAUCUCA